rnacentral:lncRNA from 1 species
CAUGCCAAUUUGAAUUUCUCAUUGAUUUUUUAUGAUAAAAUAAGAAAAAAAUCAGAUUGGGGCGGACCUAGGAGAGUCCUUCUAUUUUAAGGCAUCUAAUCUGAUCAGAUUCCUAUAAAAAGGGGUUCUUUUUUAUCAACCAAAGGGGUUACAGCCCAUAGAUCAUUUUUCAUGCUUCUCUUCCUCCUUUUCAUGCCUUCUCCCUCUUCUAUCUCUGAUAUCUAUCCCUCUUCCACAUCCAAGGGUAUUGGAUGAGCCAUCUAGUGGGUUCAAGGUGUUGAACGCCAUCAGUUCUACAUGAAGAGUCGAAAAGGCUGCAAUCAGGGGCUGAUCGGAGUCCUAUCGGCGAUCAGAUUUGAAUCUAAUCAAGGAGAUUGCAAUUUCACCUAAAAGUACAGGUGGAUUGAUCAAGAAGAAGAUAUCCUUGAUCAAGUCUGAGUGGAUAUCUAUAGAGAUCAGAUAUAUGCACGGCUCCACAGCGAACCUCGAAGAUCAUCAGAUCAUCAAUCGUAGAGAUCGUCUACCUGCACACGGUGGUGAGUUCACCUCUUAUCUCUUAUGCAUACUAAUUUUUAUUAUUUAAUAUGCUAUUUUUUUGAUUUGGAUCUAAGUCUCGCAUGUUGGAUCGGAUUAAAAUUUUUUGAAUUCCACUAUGUCUGAUCCGAACCAAUCCGAUGCACUAUUCGAUCCUUCAACUGGUAUCAAAGCCAGGUUAUUUGAAUCUUACAUCUAAAUUAGAUCAGAUCUGAUUCAGAUGUGGUCUAAAAAAUGAUCAGAUCUGAAAAUAUUUAGAUUAGAUCUAAAUAAUGCAUGUUUAGUUAGAUCUAAAAUUGUUUUAGAUUUAAAUUCAGUAUGUUGUAAACUAGAUCUUUUUGAUAUAUAUGAUAUAUACGUAGAUCUAUUUUAUUGUCUGAGUAG